UUUCUUGACAUUUGAGGUUAUUCCAACAGAGUAACACAAACGUGGAACAGUAUGCGGUGGUUAAGUCUGUUAAUAGAUGUAUUCCGAAGAGCUACUACCUCUUUGCACGUGUAUUGCAGGGUGAUAUUGUAGAUCUCUGUUCUGUGUCUAGUUUGUAUACCUUCAUAUUAGAUUUUGAGUCUGAUAGAGUGUAGAAAAGAAGUGAUGGUGUGCCAAGCAGCGAGCCAAACACGAUUCCGGGCAUUAAAACAUGAACAUGGGAUUGCAGGAAGAGCCACCAUUAUAGUUAGAGUAAUAGCUUGCUUUCAACCUUUACAAGAUUGCCAGGCUGAGUAUUUUCGUCAAUUGCUGAAACCUGUUACGUAAAUUGCUACCUCUGUUGUGCAUCUAUCUCAACCUUGAAGAUUCCGUUUCUCAUUUUCCUUCUUUUGUUAUUCCUUGCUAUAUAUAGUCAGGCAUUGCUGUUAAUAUCGUCUAUAUAUAUAUUCUGGUGCUUUUCGUGGCUUGAUGGUAAAGGCUGGAGAUUCUCGGCCCUCUUUGCAGAAUUCUGCUUACUAUUUUCCAGAACUGAAACUACAUGAGCGGUAUAUUUCAUUCUGGGUUUUCUCCUUCAAGUGUUGAUUUUCUAGAAUCAAAUGAAUUUGGAACUGGAGGCAUAGAUGGAACCCACAGAUCCUUCUUGUUUUCACCUCCUCACUUGGGAAAUAACACUUCUACCCUCCUUCCUCAUAUUGGAGGACAGUAUGAUGCCUUGUGCCAAGGACUUGGGACUGUCAGUGCAACAAAUCUCAAUUAUGGACCUUCAGAUAGAAGAAGGCUUGUCAUCUUUGAUCAAUCUGGUGCUGAUACUAGAACAUUCUUCAGUCCCAUUUGUCCUCUUCCGACUCUGCCUCCAGUUAUUCCCCCAGGAAAUCCACUGAUGCUGCAGGUGACUUACUUCAAAAAACACAGUCGUCACAGCUUGAGCAAGAAACUACCCAUCACCCCACCCAGUAUUUUUCUAGAGAAAUUUGGCGAGAAUGAAACGACGUUGGAGAACAGUGGAUGCAUGAAGACACUGACGAAAUCAAUGCGUUGCUCUAUUCUUCUGACGACGACUGUGCCAUUGAUAGUGAUGAAGACGAAGUAACAAGCACGGCUAAUUCUCUGUUUUGGACCACCGGGUAAUUGCAGGAGCCGUGAAUAUGACGGGAAUAUCUUAGAGGAUUGCAAAAAGGCAGAGACUGCUUGAAGACGGUGAUAACAAGUCCUCGUGGAUGGAGAGUGGCACGUUUGACUGACAAUGACGUGCAAUCAAGAAAUACUGACAAAUGGAACCGUGAUGUGGUAAACUUUCGUAAAUUUGGGGAGAAGAAGGAUAAUAUUCGAGACACAUUGGAAGCACUUAAAUCAAUAAUCCCCCAUUCCAAGAAGAGCAAAGACCCAUUGUCAAUCAUUGAAGAGGCUAUAAGUUACUUGAAGUAUUUAAAGAUCAAAGCCCAAGGAGUGGGAGUUAGUGAGCUGCUUCACUAAAGUGAAUCUCCCUUUCUUUACUUUUUUUUUUUCUGAUAAUAAAAGGAGGAGGGGAGGGGGAGGCUUAAUAGGUCAUGUGAAGUUUCACUUUACUUGCAGGCGUUGUAAAGAGGGGAUAUAAUUGCUGACCCACAUAUGAUUUGAUUGCCUUUAAAAAGCGUUUGAGGGUUUGAAGGGUCAAUAGUGGAUCUGCUUUACUGUAAAAUAUGGUUUUCGAGGUAACGGUGAGAAAACUCCAUGAAUUAGGGAAGGGCAUGCUGAUAUGGGCCCCCACCUCCCACCCCAGUUUGUUUCUUCCAUCUUUUUGCAUUUCUAUUUCAGUUGGAUUGUGUGAGGUUUCUUUAUGAUGAAGUUGUUUUGUAAGGGAGAUAAAUAAAUCCCCAGAUGGUGGUUGUAACUUAUUUUUAUUUAUAAUCAAUCCUUUUAAACCACUUGCCAUUAAUUCUUUUUUCUAUUUUCUUCUGUAUGCUCACUGCUUAGUUGGCAGAUCAUUGUGCAGGAACUAAGGGAUCUGUUUGCUCAGUCCAGCAGAACUAUACAAAUCAACAAUUUUGGGAUUCAGGCGCUUUUGAUCUAGCCUGUUCUGCGUUUGGAAUCUGAGAUCCAAUCUCUUGGGCCUCUAAAUUUGUCGUCUUGGUGAGCUUGCUCAGUUUUCUUCCAUCCGGUUGUCCAAGCCGACACUUGUUUGGCUUUACUAUUUUGUCAAACGCUUUUGCAAGGCCUCCAUUUCAAUUUGGAGCUUUAGGUACUUAGCCUUGACUGUCUCUACCUCAAACUUGAGUGUGUUUAUGUCCUUUUUUGCAGCUGCCCAUCCUUCUUGAAAGGACUGUGGAGUUGCCUCGAGUAAACUUCUCUUGUUGGAGGGUACCAUUGGCAUGGACAUGGGCUCUUUUAUGGAUGUUGUUGGCUAAUGCAUUGCUUAUCUUACCUGUUCAGAGAAAAGAACUUGCACGACAACUCUUAAUGGAAGCCGUUCGUUCUGUGCAGCGUGCAUACACGCAUCCAUCGACAAUUUCUGGCAGUCCAUCACCCGGCAGAGUCUCUUCCUUUCAUGCUCAGAUAGCGAUGAAUGGGUCUAUAUCGGUUUAGCAAAACCCUUAGAAUUAUUAACUUCUUAAAGAAAAUGUAUGAGUAAGUAGGGCCUAUUUGAAAACACUUUCUGCAUUGGGUCUGGUUAAGUUUCUUUGGAAACAUUAUUUUUUUUAAUUUUUUUUAAUGUAACGUGGAUUCAGAUGAGAUUUCGUUUGGAAAGACACAUCCAUAAAUUUAUCAUCCAGACUCAUAAAAAUGUUU